GAACACGGACCCARGRAGUCUAGCAUGCGCGCGAGUCAUUGGGAACUGAUAAACCCAGAGGCGCAAUGAAAGUGAACAGCGUCAUUUCGGUGGCCGUAGGGAAGAUGGCGGCCGGCGAGCCCGUCCGCCCGCAUUCCCGAGGCGUUUCGAGAAAUGCCUCCGUUGCGAUUAUCGAGACGCACUGAGAGCGCGCACGCUGGGACCCGAAAGAUGGUGAACUAUGCCUGGUCAGGUCGAAGUCAGGGGAAACCCUGAUGGAGGACCGUAGCGAUUCUGACGUGCAAAUCGAUCGUCUGAACUGGGUAUAGGGGCGAAAGACUAAUCGAACUAUCUAAUAGCUGGUUCCAUCCGAAGUUUC
rnacentral:rRNA from 1 species